UUAUCAAUACAUAUUUGCUAGAAUAAUCAGAUGAGAAUCAUUGUCUAGCUUGGUUCAGAGUUCGGAUGCAUUUUGUGCUAAUCUUUACUGCAAGCAUGAUGGACAAGUAGAGUGAUUCUUGCACAAGAUUUUGGCGAUUGGGCAGCAAGAAACCAAAGUGGGUGGAAAAUGAAUGAUUGAACUUGAACAGAGAUAUGGGGCUGAUUUUAAAGACAUUGAUAAUUUGGGUUGCAGAUGCUUUGCUGCAAUGGAGCUGAUGAUGGUGCAGCUUUCCAGCAAGACGCAGAAACCAGUUUGACAAGAAGUCAAAGUUGAUAUAUGUGAUUAUCACUUGGUUGUGAACUUGGACAUAUUAUUGCCUUUGGACAUCAUGGACAAUCGACUUUCUUGUUAACUCCCUCUGAGAAGUGGUCUGAAACAUGUAAGAUAACUCAACCAAGGACAAAGAGAGUUGAAGGCAGGUGACAAAAGAAUGAAUGAACUAGUCAGAAAAUACGAAUACGAUCUCUUGAAUAUGAAUGUGGAAGGUCAUACUCAUGUACUAUUGUCUUGCAAACGUCAAAUACCAGCUAUAGAUGCUGUGAUCAAGUAUUUAUCAGUAUGAAAUU